rnacentral:rRNA from 1 species
CACGUAGGGCGCAAGCGUUGUCCGGAAUUAUUGGGCGUAAAGGGUGCGUAGGCGGCGCGGUAAGUCGGGUGUGAAAUCUUGGAGCUUAACUCCGAAACUGCAUUCGAUACUGCCGUGCUUGAGGACUGGAGAGGAGACUGGAAUUUACGGUGUAGCGGUGAAAUGCGUAGAUAUCGUAAGGAAGACCAGUGGCGAAGGCGGGUCUCUGGACAGUUCCUGACGCUGAGGCACGAAGGCCAGGGGAGCAAACGGG